UAUCAAAACAGUUUUUACAUAGGACACUUUUGCAGAUGAUUUUGUAUGUUGUUUUCACUGAUGGACUUGUUACAUUUCCAAAAUGAUGGCAAAGGGUUUUCCUGGUGUGACUGGAUGUAAAGAAAUGUUAAUCAUUGGCAAGUCAACAAGGUGGAAAACCUGUUGGAAAAAAAUCAUUACUGAAUGUUGGCCAAGGAAACAAUACUUUUCUUACAGAUGUUACAAACAUAUGAAGCAUAUGAACCUUCAGGGUCAUAAAAGUACAAGAUAUUUCUUAAGGAUAGUAUCACCUAGCUCAGAAAGAAAAUGGAAAGUUUAAGCAGAUACAGAUCCCUCUACAUGUAUGGUCUAUUUAUGAGGAUAUAUGAAAGAACCACUUUAGGAAAAUCAACACAUUCUUUAUCUGUGCAUCCACAGACAUAAAAAGGCUUAUUCAACAAGUGAAUUCUGAUUUAUACAGAAUGUAAAAAUGAAAUGAGAAUGAGAACAUAUAGUGAGGUUGGACUAAUUUUACAAGAACGGAUAAUUAAUAUGCAAUUCAAAUAGCAGUCCAGAUCUCCAACAUCUCAAUACCAUGCUGGUCAACUUUUCUCCAGGCUGAUAGGUGUUAUGAAAGUAACAACAGUGAUAAAUUAUCAAGACCAAGAUGAACUUCUUGACUGUCACAAAAUAUGUUCAUACAUCAAAGAAAUAUAUACCAGAAUGAGAUCAGACUUAAAAAAAAAGAUUUAAUCAUUCAGCACUUCAAAUAGAAGAAAAGAAUUAACAAAGAUAUUAGAUGUAUCCAAGUCAGAAGCCAGCAUUUAAGAAGUACUAAACACAAAAUGCUCGAUGUCUACUUGCUAUAAUAGCUCAAGAUGAAAAAGACUUAAUAUUUCUAAAUUGAUUUCCAUAAAUAUGGUGUCUGUUUCGUCUCUUUGUAGCGUGUGUUUUCACAAAUGUAAUAGUCGAAAAAUACGAUCGUUUAAAAGUUAUUACAUUGUUCCAUUGCAUCAAUUUUAUGGGAUCAUUUCCAUGUAUUAUAUCAAAGGAUCAUUGAUCCAUCGAUUCGAACAAAUUACUUUCGUUGAGAAAUUUUAUAAAUGAAAUUAUAAUGUAAUAGCUACAGCCCUAAUGUUCAUAUUAGAGCAUGUAAGAAUUCCCAUCAUUAGUAAAUUUGAAUUCAUGAGGUUUGGUUAAAAAAGAUUUCCAAACGCAGCAUUUUUAAGUUGCAAUGGAAAACGCCAAUGUGUUUUGUCUAGAUGAGCAUGCAAGAAAUGUAAAACCCUGAUUUUUGUAACUAUUUUUAUGAAAUUACUAAUUUAAAUGUUAUUAAAAAAUCUGCAGAUAUGACCACUUUAAGAAUAUUUGUUUCAAGUUCAUUUAAGAUAGAAUAAUAUUGAUAAAAGAGGAUUGAAGAGUGCACAUUAUCAUUAAUAGAGAUUCUCACUCAAAACUUCAAAUUUAUUUUCGAUGUUCCUGGAAAUUCUAAGUACAACACUUUCUGUCAAAUUACCGUGUCCAAUUUUGUACAACUACAUUUGAGAAAACCAUGUAAUUUACUCAUAUCAAGGGAAUUUCCAAUACAAUUACGUGUAAUUAUGACCCCCUGACGAGUCUCGCCUAUGUGCACCCACAGACUCGGCACAAGGAACAUGUCUAAUCAUUGAAGUAGGAUUUUUAGUUUGUAAAGAAUAUUGUUCUGUUUCCAUGACACUUUUAAAUUAUAUCACUUACCUCGAUUGCCACUAAAUAAGGACAGAACGACCAAAUUAUAUCUCAUUGAAAUACUGUCAAUUAUUUAUAGUAUUACAUGUAGCAAUAAACUGGCACGUAAUUAACAAUCAUUAAUCAAUACAGGUUCUUUAAACAAAUACAGAAAAGGUUUAAUUCAAGUUUGUCCAAGCAACAAAGAACUUUUUAAGAAAUCAAUGAA